rnacentral:rRNA from 1 species
UACAGAGGGUGCGAGCGUUAAUCGGAAUUACUGGGCGUAAAGCGUGCGUAGGCGGUUACAUAAGUUGGGUGUGAAAGCCCCGGGCUUAACCUGGGAACUGCACUCAAGACUGUGUAACUAGAGUCUGGGAGAGGGUGGUGGAAUUUCCUGUGUAGCGGUGAAAUGCGUAGAUAUAGGAAGGAACAUCAGUGGCGAAGGCGACUGCCUGGCCCAAGACUGACGCUGAGGUACGAAAGCGUGGGGAGCAAACAGGAUUAGAAACCCGAGUAGU